AAUGAACGCUGGCGGUAGGCCUAACACAUGCAAGUCGAACGGCAGCACAGUAAGAGCUUGCUCUUACGGGUGGCGAGUGGCGGACGGGUGAGGAAUACAUCGGAAUCUACUUUUUCGUGGGGGAUAACGUAGGGAAACUUACGCUAAUACCGCAUACGACCUACGGGUGAAAGCAGGGGAUCUUCGGACCUUGCGCGAUUGAAUGAGCCGAUGUCGGAUUAGCUAGUUGGCGGGGUAAAGGCCCACCAAGGCGACGAUCCGUAGCUGGUCUGAGAGGAUGAUCAGCCACACUGGAACUGAGACACGGUCCAGACUCCUACGGGAGGCAGCAGUGGGGAAUAUUGGACAAAGGGCGCAAGCCUGAUCCAGCCAUACCGCGUGGGUGAAGAAGGCCUUCGGGUUGUAAAGCCCUUUUGCUGGGAAAGAAAAGCAGCAGGUUAAUACCCCGCUGUUCUGACGGUACCCAAAGAAUAAGCACCGGCUAACUUCGUG
rnacentral:rRNA from 1 species